CCUGAUUGGACCAGAGAGCUGUCUGAGAAAUACCAGGAGACCCCAAGACAGGGGUACAGGGUGAAGCAGAAUACAGAGGGACCUGACCUGUGGACUGGUGACAAGUAGCUGAGCUGCUCCCCAUUUCUUAUACCCAUACAGAAUGGACUAUUAGAUAUUCCAGGGGUGAAGCCCAGUGCCUUCAGUGAGGAGCAUAGGCACUGUAUUUCCUGAAGUUUCAGAAAAAUGAAAUGAACUGGACAUUAGGCUUUAUUAGCAAUGCAAUCAUCUGAUUCACCUCCCAACAGAUAAAGAAGGACCAGGGCAGGCUGUGGAAAGAGAGGGAUUCUCAGAAGGCAAUCUUCUGAUUGUCUGCCUCCAUCUUCACCACCAUUGUUGGGGCCUGAUCCAAACGUCCAUUGAAAGUAAGCGCAAUCAAAGCCAACAACAGAAUGGAGCCAUCAUCUUUCCUAAUCAGGCUGCCUAGGGGGAGAAAGCAAUCUAUUAAAGACAGCUAACCUUUGAUGGCAGUGAAUUCUCAAUGGGCAGAUGCCAUUCUGCAGCACUCACCUUGAAGCUGGUCUGGAGCACUUAGUCAUGUCCCUACAUCUCUACAGGAGGUGGAGGUAGUAUCUUCACUUGAACAUGUCUUUUUCUAGAUUUUAUUCUAGCUUCAUUAAACCGUACAUAUAUGCAAC
rnacentral:lncRNA from 1 species